rnacentral:rRNA from 1 species
UGGCUCAGAUUGAACGCUGGCGGCAUGCUUACACAUGCAAGUCGAACGGCAGCACGGGGGCAACCCUGGUGGCGAGUGGCGAACGGGUGAGUAAUAUAUCGGAACGUACCCGGAAAUGGGGGAUAACGCAGCGAAAGUUGCGCUAAUACCGCAUAUGCCCUGAGGGGGAAAGCGGGGGAUCCGCAAGGACCUCGCGUUUUCGGAGCGGCCGAUAUCGGAUUAGCUAGUAGGUGGGGUAAAGGCCUACCUAGGCGACGAUCCGUAGCUGGUCUGAGAGGAUGAUCCGCCACACUGGAACUGAGACACGGUCCAGACUCCUACGGGAGGCAGCAGUGGGGAAUUUUGGACAAUGGGCGCAAGCCUGAUCCAGCCAUGCCGCGUGAGUGAAGAAGGCCUUCGGGUUGUAAAGCUCUUUCGGCCGGGAAGAAAUCGCACAGGUUAAUACCCUGUGUGGAUGACGGUACCGGAAUAAGAAGCACCGGCUAACUACGUG